UCACUUGGUGGAGAUUACCGUGUUUAACGGAGGGUAUUCUCGUCCCAAAAAUACCUGUGAUGAAGCUAAAAGGGAUCAAUGGCGGAAGGAAAGGAAAGUGAAUAGAGGCCUCAAAAACCUCAAAAACCCUCUCUGUGUUUCUCUCUCUUUCUGUCACUCGCUCACUCACUCACUCACUCGCUCACCCACACACACUAGAACUUCACUUUCAUCCAUUCAUCAUUGAAGGGUAGUAAUAGUAAUUUGACCGAAGAAAUGGCGACUCAUCAUCUUCCCGACCACUUCAAGUGUCCAAUUUCCCUAGAAAUAAUGUCGGACCCUGUAAUCCUCUCUUCCGGUCACACCUUCGACCGUUCCUCAAUCCAACGUUGGCUAGACGCAGGCUACAGAACAUGUCCAAUUACCAAGUUGCCCCUCCCCGACCAACCUUCCCUUAUUCCCAACCACGCGCUCCGAAGCUUAAUCUCCAACUAUACCCUCCUACCCCCUCUUCACCAAACCAUUUCCCAACCUCAAACCCUAAUUUCCACCCUCACUUCUCCCUCUUCUUCCUCCGAUUCCAAAAUCGAUUCCCUCCGCCACCUCACGCGCCUCUCCAAGCGUGACUCCGCCUUCCGCCGCCACCUUGCUGACUCAGCUGCUGUCCCUGCCGUCCUCGCCGCCGUCGUCGACCCUGCUCUCCAGGAGAAGGCGCUCCCGCUUCUGCUCAACCUCACCCUCGACGACGACUCUAAGGUUGGCCUCGUCGCCGAGGGCGUCGUCGCGCGCCUCGUCGCCGUUCUCCUCAACGCGCCGCCUGACUGCCGCGCCGUCGCGGCCACCAUCGUCACCAGCCUCUCCGUCGUCGAGGUCAACAAGGCCACCAUCGGCGCUUUCCCGGCGGCGAUCGCGGCGCUCGUGGCGAUACUCCGUGACGGAAAAGGGAGGGAGAGAAAGGAGGCCGCCACCGCGCUUUACGCGCUCUGCUCCUUUCCGGAUAACCGGAGAAGAGCCGUGAGUUGCGGCGCUGUGCCGAUUCUGUUGCGGAACGUAGAAAUUGGAUUGGAACGGUGCGUUGAGGUAAUUGGCGUUCUGGCGAAGUGUAAGGAAGGGAGGGAGGAAAUGGAAGGUUAUAACGGUUGUGUUCAGAUUCUAGCUCGCGUUUUGAGGAACGGCAGCUCCAGGGGGAUUCAGUAUGCGCUUUUCGCACUUACUUCACUUUGCUUGUAUAGCCAGGAAAUGGUGCUGUUAGCUCUUGAAGAAGGUGUUCUGGAAGCUUCUUUUGUGUUCGUGGAAGAUGAUAAUGAGAAGGUAAGGAGGAAUGCGUGUAAUUUGAUUCGGGCUCUCCGUAGCAACAACAGCAACCACGAUCGGGUGGAGUGAUUAUAGAAAAUGAAUGGAACUGGGAUGUAUGAAGUAUCAGUUUUGAUGGGAAGAAAGAUUUGUUUGUCUCUCCUCAGUGGAGAAAUACUAAUUGAAGACUGAGGAUGCGCUGAGGGUAUAUCCUUUGCAGUAUUUUCCUUGUGUUUUGAAUUCAUAGUGAUUUCCAAUAUGCAUCCCAUCUGGCUCUAAAGUUUGGUUGGGCUGAUUUAAUGGAAAAUUGCAUCAUAAAGUUUUCUGAUUUCCCUGCACAUAAAUACCUAUGCACGCUUCUCCACCUGUUAAAGGAGGCUGCCAAGUGGUUAAACUUCAGCAGAUAACACCGGGCAAGUUGCUACUUUGUUCGGUUUUGUAGUGUGGAUGGCAAAGCAAUUUUGUGUUUCCAAUGAUGGUAUUUGGCAGGUAAUUUGGUUUGUUACAGGGUAUACGAUUCUGUGCGAAUUUAUUUUUGAUUCACUUUAAACUAGUUUUUACUCUUGUAGUGUGUAUUACACUAUGAAAAACCAUUCAUUUGUCCUAAUAUUGGUUUGGUCAGCACACUUUUUCUGGCAUUUGGUACCUUUCU